CAACACAAAGUAGUCCACUCUGGAGAGAAGCCCUACAAGUGUGAGGAGUGCGGCAAAAUGUUUUACUAUCCUUCUCGCCUUAAGGAACAUCAAAGGAUUCAUUCUCAAGAGAAUCCCUACAAGUGUGAAGUGUGUGGCAAAGUCUUAAGUGCUCACUUAGAACUUGUUUCCCACCUGAGUAUUCACUCUAGAUAAAACCCUAGAACUGGGAAGGGUAUGGAAAUGCUUUUUAACUCAUCCAUCCUUACCUCACAACAAAUCCUGAACAGAAUUCUUAACCAUGUAAAGAAUGGCAAAAUGUCUGCUAUCCUCCAAACCUUAAGCCUCUUGGAGGGAAAUCACUCUCUUGUGAGUGAGGACUGUAACAAGGUCUUUUGCUCUCACUUAGGACUUUGUAAACAUCAAAAGAAUCAUACUAGUAAGAAAGACCACAAAUGUGAGAAAGCUUCUACUAAACUUUUUAACCUUACUCAGCACAAGGUAGUGCUUUCUGUUCAGAAACACUAUACAAGUGGAUAUGCUGGAAAAUUCUUUACUCUUAAAAUAUAAAUGAACAGAGUUCAUUCUCAAGAGAGACCUU
rnacentral:lncRNA from 1 species